UCGGUCAUCCUUGAGAAGAGCGGUCCUGGCAUUCAGUUGUCGGGGUCGGGAUUCUCGACGUUUACUGUGAAAAAAUCAGAGUGUUCAACGCAGGCUUACGCCUUGAAUACAUUAGCAUGGAAUAAUGAGAUAGGACCUUGGCGGUCUAUUUUGUUGGUUUGCACGCCGAGGUAAUGAUUAAAAGGGACGGUUGGGGUUCUUCGUAUUCAAUUGUCAGAGGUGAAAUUCUUGGAUUUAUGGAAGACGAACUGCUGCGAAAGCGUCGAACAAGGACGUUCUCAUUAAUCAAGAACGAAAGUUAGGGGAUCGAAGAUGAUUAGAUACCAUCGUAGUCUUAACCAUAAACUAUGCCGAUUCAGGAUUGGCGGUCGUUUGUUCUCGACUCCGUCAGCACUGUAUGAGAAAUCAAAAUCUUGGGGUUCCGGGGGGAGUAUGGUCGCAAGGCUGAAACUUAAAGAAAUUGACGGAAGGGCACCACCAGGAGUGGAGCCUGCGGCUUAA
rnacentral:rRNA from 1 species